rnacentral:rRNA from 2 species
ACAUGCAAGUCGAACGAUGAAGUUCCUUCGGGGAUGGAUUAGUGGCGAACGGGUGAGGAACACGUGAACAAUCUGCCCCUUACACGGGAAUAACUUCGGGAAACCGAAGCUAAUACCCGAUAUUGAAUCCGGUAGGCAUCUACUGGGUUUGAAAUGGUCCGCCGGUAAGGGAUGAGUUCGCGGCCUAUCAGCUUGUUGGUGAGGUAAUGGCUCACCAAGGCGACGACGGGUAGCCGGCCUGAGAGGGCGACCGGCCACACUGGGACUGAGACACGGCCCAGACUCC